rnacentral:rRNA from 1 species
GACGAACGCUGGCGGCGUGCUUAACACAUGCAAGUCGAACGGAAAGGCCCUGCUUUCAGGGUACUCGCGUGGGGAACGGGUGAGUAACACGUGGGUGUACUGCCCUGCACUUCGGGAGAAGCUUGGAGAACUGGGUCUAUUACAGGAGAUGAACGAUCCUUCGGGUGGGGGGUGGAAGGUUAUUUCGGGGUAGGGGGAGCUCGCGGGCUAUCAGCUUGUUGGUGGGGGAAUGUCGUACCAAGGCGGCGACGGGUAGACGGCCCGUGAGGGUGUACGGCCACAUAUGGAGUGUGAGAUGGGCCAGACACUCACGGGGGGCAGAAGUGGGGAAUAUUGCGCAAUGGGCGCAAGACUGAGGUGGAGAAGCCGCGUGGGCGAUGAAGGCGCUUGGGUUGUAAAAUCCUCUUUCGAGGGAGGAAGAUUGGUAGUGACGGUAACGGGAUAAGAAGCACCGGCUAACUACGUG